UACGAAGGGGGCUAGCGUUGUUCGGAAUCACUGGGCGUAAAGGGCGCGUAGGCGGCUUUAUAAGUCGGGGGUGAAAUCCUGGAGCUCAACUCCAGAACUGCCUUCGAUACUGAGAGUCUCGAGUCCGAGAGAGGUGAGUGGAACUGCGAGUGUAGAGGUGAAAUUCGUAGAUAUUCGCAAGAACACCAGUGGCGAAGGCGGCUCACUGGCUCGGUACUGACGCUGAGGUGCGAAAGCGUGGGGAGCAAACAGG
rnacentral:rRNA from 1 species